UGCUAGUAUAAUCAGUACAUCUGCUUUCCACGCAGAAAGCUUGUUAAAUCACAAGCCCGGCAA
rnacentral:tRNA from 1 species